GAGUUUGAUCCUGGCUCAGGAUGAACGCUAGCGGCAGGCUUAACACAUGCAAGUCGAGGGGCAUCGGGAGGGAAGCUUGCUUUCCUUGCCGGCGACCGGCGCACGGGUGAGUAACACGUAUGCAACCUGCCCUCUUCAGGGGGACAACCUUCCGAAAGGGAGGCUAAUCCCGCGUAUAUCGGUUUCGGGCAUCCGAGAUCGAGGAAAGAUUCAUCGGAAGAGGAUGGGCAUGCGGCGCAUUAGCUUGACGGCGGGGUAACGGCCCACCGUGGCGACGAUGCGUAGGGGUUCUGAGAGGAAGGUCCCCCACACUGGUACUGAGACACGGACCAGACUCCUACGGGAGGCAGCAGUGAGGAAUAUUGGGUCAAUGGGAGAGAUCCUGAACCAGCCAAGCCGCGUGAGGGAAGACGGCCCUAUGGGUUGUAAACCUCUUUUGUCGGAGAACAAAACCCGGGACGUGUCCCGGACUGCGUGUAUCCGAAGAAAAAGCAUCGGCUAACUCCGUG
rnacentral:rRNA from 1 species